CCUGGCGGCAUGCCUAACACAUGCAAGUCGAACGGAAACGAUGGAAGCUUGCUUCCAGGCGUCGAGUGGCGUGCACGGGUGAGUAAUACUUAGGAAUCUGCCCAUUAGUGGGGGACAACUCGUAGGAAACUCGAGCUAAUACCGCAUACGCCCUACGGGGGAAAGCGGAGGAUCUUUCGGGACUUCGCGCUAAUGGAUGAGCCUAAGCCGGAUUANCUAGUUGGUGGGGUAAAAGCCUACCAAGGCGACGAUCCGUAGCUGGUCUGAGAGGACGAUCAGCCACACUGGGACUGAGACACGNCCCAGACUNAUACGGGAGGCAGCAGUGGGGAAUAUUGGACAAUGGGCGCAAGCCUGAUCCAGCAAUGCCGCGUGUGUGAAGAAGGCCUGCGGGUUGUAAAGCACUUUCAGUAGAGAAGAAAAGUUUAGGGUUAAUACCCCUGAAUCUUGACGUUACCUACAGAAGAAGCUCCGGCUAACUCCGUGCCAGCAGCCGCGGU
rnacentral:rRNA from 1 species